rnacentral:rRNA from 1 species
AGAGUUUGAUCCUGGCUCAGGAUGAUCGCUGGCGGCGUGCUUAACACAUGCAAGUCGAACGGGAAUUACUUUAUUGAAACUUCGGUCGAUUUAAUUUAAUUCUAGUGGCGGACGGGUGAGUAACGCGUGGGUAACCUGCCUUAUACAGGGGGAUAACAGUCAGAAAUGGCUGCUAAUACCGCAUAAGCGCACAGAGCUGCAUGGCUCAGUGUGAAAAACUCCGGUGGUAUAAGAUGGACCCGCGUUGGAUUAGCUAGUUGGUGGGGUAACGGCCCACCAAGGCGACGAUCCAUAGCCGGCCUGAGAGGGUGAACGGCCACAUUGGGACUGAGACACGGUCCAAACUCCUACGGGAGGCAGCAGUGAGGAAUAUUGGUCAAUGGGCGAUGGCCUGAACCAGCCUAGUAGCGUGAAGGAUGACUGCCCUAUGGGUUGUAAACUUCUUUUAUAAAGGAAUAAAGUCGGGUAUGCAUACCCGUUUGCAUGUACUUUAUGAAUAAGGAUCGGCUAACUCCGUGCCAGCAGCCGCGGUAAUACGGAGGAUCCGAGCGUUAUCCGGAUUUAUUGGGUUUAAAGGGAGCGUAGAUGGAUGUUUAAGUCAGUUGUGAAAGUUUGCGGCUCAACCGUAAAAUUGCAGUUGAUACUGGAUGUCUUGAGUGCAGUUGAGGCAGGCGGAAUUCGUGGUGUAGCGGUGAAAUGCUUAGAUAUCACGAAGAACUCCGAUUGCGAAGGCAGCCUGCUAAGCUGCAACUGACAUUGAGGCUCGAAAGUGUGGGUAUCAAACAGGAUUAGAUACCCUGGUAGUCCACACGGUAAACGAUGAAUACUCGCUGUUUGCGAUAUACGGCAAGCGGCCAAGCGAAAGCGUUAAGUAUUCCACCUGGGGAGUUCGCCGGCAACGGUGAAACUCAAAGGAAUUGACGGGGGUCCGCACAAGCGGAGGAACAUGUGGUUUAAUUCGAUGAUACGCGAGGAACCUUACCCGGGCUUAAAUUGCACUCGAAUGAUCCGGAAACGGUUCAGCUAGCAAUAGCGAGUGUGAAGGUGCUGCAUGGUUGUCGUCAGCUCGUGCCGUGAGGUGUCGGCUUAAGUGCCAUAACGAGCGCAACCCUUGUUGUCAGUUACUAACAGGUGAUGCUGAGGACUCUGACAAGACUGCCAUCGUAAGAUGUGAGGAAGGUGGGGAUGACGUCAAAUCAGCACGGCCCUUACGUCCGGGGCUACACACGUGUUACAAUGGGGGGUACAGAGGGCCGCUACCACGCGAGUGGAUGCCAAUCCCUAAAACCCCUCUCAGUUCGGACUGGAGUCUGCAACCCGACUCCACGAAGCUGGAUUCGCUAGUAAUCGCGCAUCAGCCACGGCGCGGUGAAUACGUUCCCGGGCCUUGCACACACCGCCCGUCAAG